UAUGAUAAGCGACUUAUAUAUAUAUUUUAGCUUCUCUUAUUAGAAAAAACAUUGAGCAAAACCUCUCGUUGUUGAAAAGAUUGAAAUGUCCAUUACCCUCUCUUUUUUUUUUCUCCUUUUGCUUUUCUUCGUUCAUUUAUCUUGCUCUCCUACUUCUCUUUCCUCCCUCUUGUCUCCACUUUACCCCCAUCUUUAGCGCACGUUCAUACUCCCCUGCAAUGGCUUAACUUAGAGCAACCUCAGCAGCAGCCUCAGAAAUAGGGCCCCAACUUUUUAUUUGGAUGCUCUUUCUAUUUUUGGUACUUAAAAUUUUUGCUUCCACUCCAACAGCUAGCACCCCAAAAUAAAGGUUCUCAAAUCCAAAUUGGUUGACAAUAACAUAUGGCUCAUUGAGUCAAACCUUUCUUUCUCACAUCCUCCAAACAGAGGCCAGGACACAAAAGAGACGAGAGCUUUCGGCGUAUCAGGGCAGCGCCCGCAUGGCGGGAAAGGGGCCGCGCCAGAGUUGCGCACCGGUAAAUCUGCCCAGCGGUGGAGGUCGGGGGUGAAGGGAGGGAGCGAGGUAGUGGAGAUUGGCGCUGGAGAGAGGUGGAUGAGGCUGCGUCUCUAUGGUGUGGGGAGAUAAUGGUCACACCACACAGGAUGAGGACUGAGUUGUUGGGUCAACAGAAAUGGAGUCUGCUGAGGAGAUUUGGGUGGCCACCUCAAAUUAGGAGCUCUAAUGAAGACCCUGCUGGAGUGUUAUUUUUAAACCGAGUAUGGAUAUUUAGCUAUAAAGGCUCAAAAUCUGCACGAGCUCGCUAGGAUGGAGGUGUCGGUGAGGGGCAUCCCCGUCCAAACACCCGAAGCUGCUCUUUUUUCUGGGCUCCACCGUCCGGACACCGUAGGCAGCCAUGAACUUCAACAUUUUUUUAUAAUUGAAUAACAUUAUAUUUUGCUAGGUAAAUAUUUUUACAUAAAAAGGAUUGAUCAGGCUCUGAAAAGCUUGUCUCCGACAGUGACACUGCCGUCCACUCACCCCCUGUGAGGCUGUGAGAGCGCAUUUCGCAGGGCUUGUUUAGGCCUUGUUUAGUUCCCAGAAAAUUUUGCAAAAUUUUUCACAUUCCCCGUCACAUCGAAUCUUUAGACGCAUGUAUGAAGUAUUAAAUAUAGACAAAAAUAAAAACUAAUUGCACAGUUUGGUCGAAAUUGAUGAGACGAAUCUUUUGAGCCUAGUUAGACCAUAAUUGGAUAAUAUUUGUCAAAUACAAACGAAAGUGCUACAGUGUCGAUUUCCCAAAAUUUUUCGAAACUAAACAAGGCCAAUUAGUGCACCCUGAAAAUCAAAACAUUUUAAAAAUUUUCUAUCACAUUAAAUCUCACACCACAUGCAUUAAGCAUUAAAUAUAAAUAAAAAUAAAAAUCAACUAUACAAUUUACUUAUAAAUCAUGAGAUAAAUCUUUUAAAUCUAAUUAAUUUAUGAUUGAAC
rnacentral:lncRNA from 1 species